rnacentral:rRNA from 1 species
GGGAGGAAAAGAAACUAACAAGGAUUUUCUUAGUAGCGGCGAGCGAAAAGAAAAGAGUUCAGCACUAAGUCACUUUGUCUUAAUGGCAAAUGUGAGAUGCAGUGUAUGGAAUGUCAAAUUUCUAGUAUGAGAAAUUAACGAUUUAAGUCCUUCUUAAAUGAGGCCAUUUACCCAAAGAGGGUGCCAGGCCCGUAUAACGUUAAUGAUUACUAGAUGGCAUUUCCAAAGAGUCGUGUUGCUUGAUAGUGCAGCACUAAGUGGGUGGUAAACUCCAUCUAAAACUAAAUAUAACCAUGAGACCGAUAGUAAACAAGUACCGUGAGGGAAAGUUGAAAAGAACUCUGAAUAGAGAGUUAAAUAGUACGUGAAACUGCUUAGAGGUUAAGCCCGGUGAACCUGAAUAUCCGUUAUGGAAAAUUCAUCAUUAUGAUUUUAAUAUUUAUAAUAUUAUAAUAAUGGUGUGCAUUUUUUCUAUAAAGGACAUUGUAAUCUAUUAACGUACAAAUAUUUAUCAUAAGAUCAAGGGCGUAAGUUUAUUCAAAUUAUUUUGCUUGCAAUUUAACAUAGAAUAAAUGCUUUUGAUUUGAUAAAGUGUUGAUAGAUUUAUUAUAUAUAGUGCUUAAAUAUUUAUAUUUUAUAAUAGCAUAUUAAUCAUUGAUUUUUAUGUUUAUUAUAUGCACUUAUAUGAUUUACAAUGCGAAAGAUUCAGGAUACCUUCGGGACCCGUCUUGAAACACGGACCAAGGAGUCUAACAUAUUUGCAAGUUAUUGGGAAUAAAAACCUAAUAGCGAAAUUAACAUAACUUAAUAAUGGGAUUAGUUUUUAGCCUAUUUAUUUAUAGUCUAUUAAUUCAAUCCCGGGGCGUUCUAUCAGUUAUGUAUAAUAAUAUUUAUAUUAUUUAUACCUCUAACUAGAGCGUACCUUGAGCAUAUAUGCUGUGACCCGAAAGAUGGUGAACUAUACUUGAUCAGGUUGAAGUCAGGGGAAACCCUGAUGGAAGACCGAAACAG